GACGAACGCUGGCGGCGUGCCUAACACAUGCAAGUCGAGCGAAGUGAGUACUACGGUACGAACUUAGCGGCGGACGGGUGAGUAACGCGUGCACAAUCUACCCUGUAGACUGGUCUCACACCUCGAAAGGUGUGCUAAUCCCGCACACUGUCGAGAAGCCGCCUCGCUUUUCGAAGCAAGGAGAGGAUCCGCGAUAGGAUGAGUCCGCGGCCCAUUAGCUAGUUGGUGAGGGUCACGGCCCACCAAGGGGACGAUGGGUAGCCGGCCUGAGAGGGUGAACGGCCAGACUGGAACGGAGACACGGUCCAGACGCCUACGGGAGGCAGCAGUGGGGAAUAUUGUGCAAUGGGGGAAACCCUGACACAGCAACGCCGCGUGAGCGAAGAAGGCCUUCGGGUUGUAAAGCUCAAUAGUAUGGGAAGAUAAUGACGGUAUCAUACGAAAGCCCCGGCUAACUACGUGCCAGCCGCCGCAGUAAUAC
rnacentral:rRNA from 1 species